UUUAUUUUUAUAGGCUAAUGCUAAGAUAAGUUUACUUUAAUAAAUUAAUAGCUGGAAGUUGGUGAAAUUCCAACACUGUGCCGCAACGGUAAUCGUUUGCAAGCAAACGAAUGAACUAAUGAACAAAUGCUCAAUGAACAAAUGCAUUGAACAUUGAUCAUUGAACAUUGAUCAUUCGACUGCGAAGCAGACGUCAGUCCGAUACAGCGUAAAACAAAUCUCCCGA
rfam:Bacterium G20 isolate G20 NODE_10_length_11137_cov_8.95985, whole genome shotgun sequence.